rnacentral:lncRNA from 1 species
UUGGGGCUCCUUGAGCCCCAAGGCAAGGUCCCCCCUCUCCCACCUAUAUAUACGGAGGUUUUAGGGCUGAUUUGAGACGACUUUUCCACGGCAGCCCGACCACAUACCUCCACGGUUUUUCCUCUAGAUCGCGUUUCUGCGAAGCUCGGGCGGAGCCCUGUUGAGACGAGAUCAUCACCAACCUCCGGAGCGCCGUCACGCUGCCGGAGAACUCUUCUACCUCUCCGUCUCUCUUGCUGGAUCAAGAAGGCCGAGAUCAUCGUCGAGCUGUACGUGUGCUGAACGCGGAGGUGCCGUCCGUUCGGCACUAGAUCGUGGGACUGUUCGCGGGAUAGUUCGCGGGGCGGAUCGAGGGACGUGAGGACGUUCCACUACAUCAACCGCGUUCACUAACGCUUCUGCUGUACAGUCUACAAGGGUACGUAGAUCACUCAUCCCCUCUCGUAGAUGGACAUCACCAUGAUAGGUCUUCAUGCGCGUAGGAAAUUUUUUGUUUCCCAUGCAACGUUCCCCAACAAUCAAUACGCGUGACCCCCUAGAAGAUCGAUCAUCUUCACAGCCCUCUUGUGUUUGCGAUAGUUCACUAUUAUUUACUAUGAUGAAGCCCAAAGAGUUGUUAGAAGAUCAUUGACACCCAUAGCCGAUUGAUUAUCAGAACUUUGUACAAAGCUACAUAAUGCCGUCAACGAACUAAAUCGGAGCAACACUCGAGGGAAUCAUAGCAAGAACAUCGAACCCUCACAUCCAUAUGUGAUCUAGAUGAAAACAUGUACCUACUAGAACCGCUCAUGAUGCUACUAUUGGGUAAGGUAGUAGAAAACAAAAAUAAUCACCCUACGAUCAACCCGGAACACUAUGAAGAUGCAAUAACGGUUAGGAUCGUAUUGUUACCAUCUCUAAGUUGCAGCAGAAAAAGAAGAGUCGGUGUAUAUCAUACUUGGAGUCCCUCGAAUCGUCGACGAAUGAUCCCUCGAAUGUAAGACCAAAACCAUGGCCUCUCCACACGUUGCAAGCAUAUGGUCUUCACGAUCCCGUAGCACUUCACCAUCUAGAGUUAAUCAUCACUGGAGAAUUAGAGGGAGGAAGUUAGAACCAAACUCGACUUCUAAUUAUAAGGAAUAGAGGAUCUAGGUCUAGAUCUAGUUAGAUCAACUAGGAUCAUCUAGAACUGCAACUAGAGAACUAGAGGAGGCUCCAAAAACUUGUGUCCAAAAAGGGGCCAAAACCUCCACUUCCUCUAUACAAUAAUGCUUGUUGUUGGGGAGAACUAGUCUAGUUCUCCCCAACAAAAAGUAUUUAGGAACAGAGGGAGCAGUAUAUAUAUGUGGGACGAGAGGGAGGGGCGCCAGACAAGGGGAGUCUCCCCCCUUUGGAUGGUCAAUAGGAGGGGGUUCCCUUUCCGAUUCGGCCUCCCGUUGCUCCUUUCCAUGGGAGAGGGGGCGCCACCCCUAUGAGGCCCUUGUGGCCAAGUUGCCUUCCACCACUUGGCCUUCUAGGGCCAGUUGAUAUUAAAUGAAAUACGAAAGCCUCCUAACAAUUACUAUAGCCUUUUAGUAUUAAUUUAACAUCUCCGAAAACAUUUUCCACCUAUAUAUUAUUCAUCGAUAAUACCCGGUAUUGUCUGAUAGUCUCUGAAAUCCUUCCGGUGACACCAGAACACUUCGAGAUACUCUCGAAACUAUUUUGAAUAUUAAUGAAACAAUUUCACAAAUAUAUUAUCAUCACUUUGUCCUACUAACACUCGGCAGGUCGUGAUUACCUAAGCUUGUAACCCUAUAGGUUCGGUAAAACAUAGACAUGAACGAAAACUCGUACCAUUCAGUGAUUGCUAGCGAAACAAUGGACAUCCACAUCGAUCCCUAUGAGUACAUGAAUGGCAUUCAAGUGAAUCAUUGGUUAUUGUGUGUUGCUUUCUUUGCUUCGCGAUACUUUAUAAAACUCGAGAUGGGAUAUAUCGGUAUCCUCUUGAGUCAUACACAUGCUCACUCUACCAGUCUCCGUGUUACCAUUUUGCUCUUCUUUCUCGUUGAUGUGUUCUGCUAUCCCCGUGACAUAGUCACCUAUGUCUGGCCAGAUAGUGUUGGAUGUCGUCACACUGAGAGGGCCCUAAGAAUAUCUCUUCAUUGCCGGAGGAGCAAAAUCCACUCUUGAGUUAUCUAGUCGCUUGUCAAACUUUUCGAUGAACGUGUAAGUUGUCGUUAUGAUCACCAUGUUACAGAUGACGUCUAAGCAACCUCCAAGCUCAUCGUAUGGUAGGAAGUGACUACAAUAUUCUCAUGGUAUAAGUAACUAAAUCACACAUUAACUCUCCGUGUUAUAACAAUUCACUUCUGAUGAUAUUAUCUCAAAGUAUAACAAACAAGUCUGGAUCGAUUCAAUAUGGUCAUUUUUCUAAUGUAAUAAUCUCAAAGUUCUUUUAUGAUCAUCGUUACACUUUAGCGUUAUCCUAAGAUCUAGAAAACGUGAUCACCAACCACACUUGAGAUAGUCUUAGAGGCGAGACUAGGAAUUUUAUUUUGUCGUUUAUCAUUCCACACGUAAUCGCACAUUCCUGGAUCAUAGUUGUUAUAGCAUUGAUUAUAAACUCUUAAUUAUAAAUAUAAAAAUAUAAUAAUACAAUAUUAUUGCCUCUGGGAAAUUUUUUCAACACUCUGACUUUGGUGUGGUUGGUUACUGCACUACUGCACGCCUAUAGUAACAUCUUCCCAACUCGUGUGUGCUCUUGGUUCCCUGGCUCGCCAUGCACGAGUUUGCGUACCUUGCUAAUGCACCAUGCGGCCCAACUCGCAAAAUAUUGUUCGCGGUUAGACAAGGUUGGCAUGCAGCUCCGACAGCCUUCCCCUUGCAGCAUCGGAGAUGCCCCAUGUUGUUCUCGCAGUAGCGGCCUUGGCCAGCUCACCCCCGACCAGCCUUUGCCAUUUGCGGCAGCUCGGAUAAAAUCAGGAGGGAAGAGGGCGCGAGGGAUGUGGAGAAGACACGUGUUGGUACAGUUCCAUGGAAGAUCGAUGAUGGGAGCAACGGAGCAACAUCACAGACUAGGGAUUGGUUAGAUGGACCGACAAACAGAUAUUAAUGAGAGAAGAAAGACAUACAUAAAAAAUGAAUGGACGAGAGGUCAUAGUGAAGAUAAGAAAGAGUGGAGAUAGGAUUUGUAGGGCCGUAACGUGUGUCGCAAGGACGAGCUUCCAUGGACUAUAGCUUUGCCGG